GGUGAUGGGAGCAGUCACAGGAGCUCUGGACCCUCCACUUCCCUUCACCCACACCUCGUUCUAUGCAUCUUUUCCAAUUGGCUGUUAUCAUAUACUGGUGAUCAGUCUCUAUCUGCCUGGAAUCCUGUUGCCUAGAGACCACUCUUGAAGAACAUGCACUGUCACGGCCUCUUGGAGAUUUAACAUCUAAUGAGGAGCUGACAGAAAUCAUCAGCUUGUCUUGAGCAGACUCAACAAUAUGAAUGGAAGUUGGAGGUAUGCAUGAGGCCUGAAGAAAUAUAGGAAUACAAUCAUUAUAGAAGUUCCAGAGGACUGUUGCCAUCAAUGACUACAUGAUGCUCAGGCCACUACAUUCUUAUGCCUGUCCCUUUUGUACAGGCAGAUUCUAAUGCUUGAUGGAGUCACAAAGUAUCACUAUGGGAAAAUGACCAGUGACUUCAAGAUGUCAGGACCUCCAGGAACUGUAAGGAGAACUGGAUACAUUGCAUUUGGAAGAAGUUCUAUUACCAGACUGAACUGGAAAUACGAAAGAAAUUAAAAUCUUGGGAAGACAAUGGACAGCUGAAGUUACAAGAAAAUCUUUUAUCUUUAUGUUAUCUCUCAUGAAAAAUAAAAAUAAUUUCAACCAAGUUGAUAUAAA